rnacentral:tRNA from 1 species
UCCCUGGUGGCUCAGUCAGUAAAGAGUCUGUCUGCAAUGCAGGAGACACAGGUUCAAUCCCUGGUCAGGAAG